rnacentral:rRNA from 2 species
CAGAUGAGUAUCUUACGCUGAAUACAUAGGCGUAAGAGGCGAACCAGGGGAACUGAAACAUCUAAGUACCCUGAGGAAAAGAAAUCAACCGAGAUUCCCCUAGUAGCGGCGAGCGAACGGGGACCAGCCCUUAAGCGUGUGAAAGAUUAGACGAACAGACUGGGAAGUCUGGCCAUAGCGGGUGAUAGCCCCGUAGUCGAAAAUCUGAUCACGUGAAAUCGAGUAGGUCGGGGCACGAGAAACCUUGACUGAAGACGGGGGGACCAUCCUCCAAGGCUAAAUACUCCUG